rnacentral:rRNA from 1 species
AGUGAACGCUGGCGGUAGGCCUAACACAUGCAAGUCGAACGGCAGCACAGCAGUAGCAAUACUGUGGGUGGCGAGUGGCGGACGGGUGAGGAAUACAUCGGAAUCUACCUUUUCGUGGGGGAUAACGUAGGGAAACUUACGCUAAUACCGCAUACGACCUUAGGGUGAAAGCGGAGGACCUUCGGGCUUCGCGCGGAUAGAUGAGCCGAUGUCGGAUUAGCUAGUUGG